rnacentral:snRNA from 1 species
GUCUCACUUAGGCAGCACAUACAUAUAAACUAGAACGAUACAGAAAAGAUUAGCACGGCCCCUCUGCCAGGAUAACACGCAAAUUCAUGAAGUGUUCCAUAUUUAA